rnacentral:rRNA from 1 species
UACGUAGGGUGCAAGCGUUGUCCGGAAUUAUUGGGCGUAAAGAGCUCGUAGGCGGUCUGUCGCGUCGGAUGUGAAAACCCAGGGCUCAACCCUGGGCCUGCAUUCGAUACGGGCAGACUAGAGUUCGGUAGGGGAGACUGGAAUUCCUGGUGUAGCGGUGAAAUGCGCAGAUAUCAGGAGGAACACCGAUGGCGAAGGCAGGUCUCUGGGCAUUAACUGACGCUGAGGAGCGAAAGCAUGGGGAGCGAACAGG